AUCAGAUGGGGGGCUCUCUUGACCUUUUUGUCAAUAGUGCCCUUUUAAAAUUACCCAUUUCAAAGGUAGACUGGGGGCUCCUCCCCCAAUCACUCCCCCUCCACUUCUACAGCACUGGCAUACACUGUGUAAGGGAAGUUAAUGUCAGCUGUGCCUUACGUCGUUUUUUCUCGUGAAACGUUUGUCUUAUCGUGAAUUACGAACAAUUUGUAAUAAUUUGUUUACUUAUUUCUAUUCCCGCGCAUUUUAAAUGUAAGCAAUUAAGUAUGAAACAGGUAUGAAAAUAUGUGUGUUAAUUGCUGUAUGAAAUAAAGUCUAUCAAAUUUAGUAGACUGAGGAACGACUCGCUAAACUGUAUUUUUUCAUCUCUUACUUAUUGAAAUUUGAGAGUUAGAAAAUGACGUCAUUUAAGAUUUCAAGGUCAGACGUUCGGAAACAACGGAAUGUUAUCGUAGGUUAUCGUACGUAUCUUGGCACUACAAUACAUUUUCAAAAUGUAAAGACAAUAUACGAUCGAAACACUUAUCUUUGUUGCAAGGUACACAAAUUUUAAGCUUUUCACCUGAAAACUGGAGAAUGCUGUGUAGCCCACUGAACUUAAUCAUGCAGAAGCGAUGCAGCGGAAACCCAAAAAAUAAUUCAAUACUUCAUUACAACUGUUCUUCAACCUUACCAAAUCCGUAGAGACAGAGUGAAUGUAUCCGACUUGUUCUAUCUUGUGUUAUAAAAUGCUGUCCUCUUAUGCUUUUAUGAUAAUUGGUGGGUUGGUUUAGAAUAUUCAUAGUGUGUGAAUGGAAUUUGAGUUCGAUGCCAACAAAAUUUUGCCAAAUCCAAUCACGUUUGUCGACAGCAAAAUGUGCACGUUUGGAAAACAUGCGAGAGAUGCAAAGUUGCUCAAUCAACAUUUACAUAAAAUCAUUGAUGCUCUUGGUGCCGCAUCGAGCAAGGCACAAGGAUUGCAUACCAUCAUCACAACUGCAUCUAAGCUCAAGUAUUCAAAUCAUGAAUGCUUUAUAUUCUCAAAGAUGCAGCUAGUAAACAACAAUGAGAGCUUUACGUUGGCUUAUUUUUGAAGAGGCCGAGGUACAGUUAUUGGCAUUAUUAAAGUUGGCCGAUAAAAUCUUUUCUUGUUGGACAUGCAUGGCGUUCAGCACGAAGUUUUGCCGCUCUGCGUGAUGGAUUUUUAUGUGCAUCAUACGAAACAAAGAAACGGCUGUGGAAAGAUGUUGUUUGAACACAUGUUGAAGAUUCACAAUCUUCAACCAUUUCAUGUCGCGAUUGAUCGUCCUUCGCACAAGUUUCUCUCCUUCUUGAAGAAACAUUAUGGUCUUCACAAUGCCAUAUCUCAGCCGAACAAGUUUUUGGUUUUUGAUCAGCUUUUUUGCGACAUGAGCGCUGUUGGUUUUGUACCCAGGAGAAGUCAAAGCUUGAAAUUUGGAAGCGAAGUGAAAGAUCGUUCUCCUGUCCAUCAUCAUAGACGUACUUCUGGAUGAGCCAGCAAUAACUGGCCGUCAACGUCACAGCAUGAACAUAAUCUUAGCGCUGAGGGAAGCUCUGAAAAAGCGCAGAUAAUGGAUGUGAACGGCAAUAAAGAUUCAGGAAUUUCUGAAACACCUCGCUCUUGGCUGCCAUCAAUUACUCGACCAACGUUUGGCAGAGAGCAGUCCACGGUCCUUAUGGGGUCAGAUGAUAUUAAGGGGAAUAGGUACCUGGGCCGUUGGAAGAUCAAGAAUUAAGGGAGAGAGAGGGGGCUCAUCUUCACGUGAUUGAUUACAAAGCGCAAUUCUUUGCCCACGUCGACGAAAUCAAUAAUUACGGAGAGAACGCUUCUCACGAAGAAGAAAGAUGGCAGGAAAAAUGGCGCUUUUCGUUACAAAGGAUACAGAACUUACAUUGAAGUAUCUAUUUUUAUUUCUAUUAGUGGUAAAAAUGCGUUAAGUAUUGUUGGACAAGCCCUUAAACAAAUAGCUAUCAUAAAUUUACCUCAAAAGAUUAUUUUUUUGUCAAAUAUUUAUAAUGAUAAUGGACAAUGGUCACCGUCAUAUUUUUUAAAACAAUAUUUGUCAUCGGAAUAAUUCGAAAUUUCGAGAUUGCUCGCCGAAAUGUUUUUUCAAUGUUAAAAUCCGUUGCCUUUUUUUCUUAUCAAAUCACAGCAAGUGGAUAAAAUUAAUGUGUAAAAAAUACUUAAACAAUUGCCAUAUAAAAACAGGAUGAAGCAGGAA